rnacentral:rRNA from 1 species
GACAGAGGAUGCAAGCGUUAUCCGGAAUGAUUGGGCGUAAAGCGUCUGUAGGUGGCAUAGUAAGCAGAUAGUGAAAUUGUGUGGCUCAACCAUACACCCAUUAUCUGAACUGCUAAGCUAGAGUAUAUGAGAGGUAGCUGGAAUUCCUAGUGUAGGAGUGAAAUCCGUAGAUAUUAGGAGGAACACCGAUGGCGUAGGCAGGCUACUGGCAUAUUACUGACACUAAGGCACGAAAGCGUGGGGAGCGAACGGG